CCGGCCCCCGCCUCGUCCUGCGGCCGCGGCCCGCCCGCGCCCAGCGCCGGGUUGUGGCAGGGCAUCGUCGCCAUGCGCCGGGCGCCGCGCGCGCAACCGGCCCCGCGCCCCGCCCCCGCCGCGCGCCCAUUGGCCGCCGCCGCCGCCACUCCCGAGCGCCUGCAGGCCUGGCGGGCGCCCCCUGCAGGCGCGGCCCCGGCCUGGCGGCGCCGCUUCUCGCCGCCGCGCCGCGCCGCACCGCACGUGCUGCAUAGCCCGCGCGCUGCACCGGGGCGGGACUGCCGCCGGGUCACAACGAGCCGCCGGCUGCGGAAAGAGCCGGUCCGCUCUAACAACAAGAAAGAUUUUUUUACCUCCCUGCCUGCCAUCUGACACCUCCAGGGAAGGAAUUCUACCUAAUCUACACAUCAAAGAGCUACUCAGCACAGCUCACAAAGACUCUCAGGGACCCAGAGGGACAGCCUUCCAUCUCCAGCUCCCUCUGUGCAAAAAUGUUUAUUUCCUAACUAUGGGGAGUUUUUACCAUCUUUUACCAUCUGUACCUUUCCCAGAGCCUGAUGAAGGGCCUUUGAGCCCGGAAGCUUGCAGAAAAGGACAAUUUUCUUGCAAUUUCCCACUUGGUCUAAUAAAAGGUAUCAUUUUGGAACCAAGAGUUCAUGUUUUUUGUAUGUCUCCUUGUCUCAGACCAACACAGCUAUCCCUGAAACAUGGAAGAUGCUGAAUUUUAGCCGAUUUUGAAUUUUAAUCUUUAUUGCAGAACAACAGGAAAGAUAUUUUACCUCCCUGCCUGCCACCUGACACCUCCAGGGAAGGAAUUCUAGCUGAUCAACACAUCAAAGAGCUACUCAGCACAGCUCACAAAGACACUCUCAUGGACCCAGAGGGACAGCCUUCCAUCUUCAGCUCCCUCUGUGCAAAAAUGAAGUUUAUUUCCUACCCAUGGGGACUUUUUACCAUUUUGUACCAUCUAUACCUUUCCCAGAACCUGACGAAGGGUCUUUGAGCCCGAAAGCUUGCAGAAAAGGACAGUUUUCUUGUGAUUUCCCAGUUGGUCUAAUAAAAGGUAUCAUUUUGGAA